rnacentral:rRNA from 1 species
AUUUUAGUAAGCGGAGGAAAAGAAACUAACCAGGAUUCCCUUAGUAUCGGCGAGUGAACAGGGAAAAGCCCAGAACCGAAUCCUCUGGUGUGACGCCAGUAGGAAAUGUGGUGUUUGGGUGGUUUCUUGCUGUGCAUUGAGUGAUUCUAAGUCCACGUGAUUGUGGCGCUGCCAGAG